rnacentral:lncRNA from 1 species
AAAAAGAAAACGGAGGAAGGGGCCACCAGCCAAGGAAUGAGGACAGCCUUCAGAACCUGGAAAAGUCUCCCACAGACCCCCCAAAAGGAGCACACCCCUCCCUGCAAUGGAUUCCAGCUCACUAGUGGGCCCACCGUUGGUCUCUGACCCAGCAGCACUAGAAGGCCUCCGUUUCUUGCCUAUAUUAUGGGAUGCAGGACGAGAUGACCUCCGAGACCACCCCUGGCCUUAACGUUCUGCAUGUCUGUGAUUGGGCCUCAGCGUUCAUCUUCCUCCUGGAUCUUUGAUUCAAUCGGGAUGAGUCAGGCACUGACAGCCGCCUUGGGCCCUGAGCGCCUGCUCGGAGAGCAGUGCCAGGGCCCAGAAGAUCAGCUCAGAUCCUUGCUGGGUCACAUGCGUGGGUGUCAGCACUUCCUGCCUAGACUUUUCCCUUUGACUCAUGCUUCUCUUGUGUUCGGGAUCCCUGUUCCUCAGCCUUGUUCAUCUGGAAAGGAAGGAGCAUGUGCCAAAAUAAUGAUAAGGAGUCGAAUACAGCAGCCACGGUGGCAAAUGCCUCUAAUCUCCCCGGUUCCGGAAGCUGAGGCAGGAGGAUCCAAGUUCCAACUUAGCAAGACCCUAUCUCAAGGGCAAUGAGAGCCUGCAUCUACACAGACCAGAGCAGCAGCAUUCAGCAGCGGGUGAGCAGUAGCCCAAGGGAGGCAGGGCGGUCCGCAGGGCCAGGACCAACACCCUGCAAAGCCUUACGGUGCAGACCGCGCUGCGACCAGGAGAGACUGCAGACAUCAUGUCUCGAAAUGGAUGCACCUCAGGAUAACUUGACUGAGGAAGAGAAGCCAGACCAAAUAAAGACAAGGAGAGCCGACAUGGCUGGGCACACCUGUAAUCGUAGCAUUCUGAGAGGCUGAGGCAGGAGGACUGCAAGUUUGAGCCCAAUCUGGGGAAUUCAGCGAUUUAGUGAGACCCUGUCUCAAAAUUUAAAACAUACACCGCGCGCCCACACACACACACACACACACACACACACAAGGGCUGGGGCUAUGGCUCAGGGUGGAGGCUCUGGGUUCAACCCCAGCACUGAGAGG